rnacentral:rRNA from 1 species
GGGGGAACCCCAUCAAACUUGGAUUUUGUAAGUAGUUGCGAAUGAACACAAAUUUGAUCACUUUGGCAAUCUGUACACAUUGCUGUGUAACAAUUUGUAUACGUUGGCACAGUGCUAUCAAAGCUGCAUGCAAGUGUUUUUUGAAAGGAUACAACAUGGGAUGUGAUAUUCAUGUGUGUGUGCCUGCUUUGUCCACAGCCUGUGCUGUAUGAAUCACAUUUCUUGCAACUGAAAUGCUAAUGGCAUGGUAAAGUUCAUGUGACAUGACACAAGCUUGAGAUUCAUGAUGUGCAAGUACCAUGAGGGAAAUGUGAAAAGGACUUUGGAAAGAGAAUUAAAUAAAGCCUGCAUUUGCUGACAAUGAAAGCAAGUGUGGAUGUUCAUGUAAUUGUUACUGCAUCAAUCAAUGUUCAUCUUGGUUACUGCAUGCUUUAUAUUACAGCUCAGAACAUGAAGUGUGUGUAACAGCUCUGCUUUGAUUUUUCCCACAUGGGAUCAGUUGAAACAUUGUGAGAGCACUCUUCAGUUUCCUUAUGUACCCACCAGCUUUGUCCACUCGCGUGUUGGCACACAUGUAAUGAUGAUGUGUUUAUGCAAGAUACUUCUGUGCUCAACAACAUGUUGUCAUCUCAUCCUC